AUGCUUUUUAAAAUUGACACGUAUAAUACAUGCACAUGGACACACACACAUGUGCACACAGUCUCACAUAUCUAUGCCACACAUGUGCAUGAGCACCCAUGUGUACACACAUAUGCACAUUGUCAUGCACACAUUCAUACAUUCACACAUACUCACACACAAAUACAUGUGUGUGUGCUCUCAUACAUCCACACCACACACAUGUGCUGCACACUCACAUGUAUACACUCUUACACAUUCAGUGUCACACACCAUGCAUACACUUACAUAUCCACACAAAUACUCACACAAAUUUACAUGUGUGCCCACUCCUAUACAUCCACACCACACACAUGUGCACGCACACACACAUGCACACACUCACACAUGCAGUGUCAUGCACACUCACAUUCACACAAAUACUCUCACCCCAAAAUACACACAUGUGCACACACUCUCAUACAUGCACCAUACACACGUGUGCAUGCACACUCACAUGUACACACUCACACAUGCACAGUGUCAUGCACGCAGUACACAUUCCCACAAAUACUCUCACACACAAAUACAUACAUGUGUGUACUCUCAUACAUCCACAUCACACAUGUGAGCAUGUACACACAUGUACACAGUCACACAUGCGCACUGCCAUGUACACACACAUUCACACAAUACUCUCACAUAGAAAUAUACACGUGUGCACACUCUCAUGCAUGCACACCACACACAUGUGCAUGCACACUCCCAUGUACACUCUUACACACACACUCUCAGACACAUACGUGUCACCAGAACGGGACACCCUGCGCCAUAGCACCUCAAAGCCAAGGUCCCACUCCUGGGCAGCUGGGGACGAAGGGCCGGCUCACUGCGGCUCUGUCCCUCCCGCCCCUCCCCGGGUGGGGCAGUUCUGAAGGAUCCCUGAGCCGACAGCACCAGGCGGGUGUCAGUGACCUCAGCCUCACUGGGCAAGACGCACUCGGUCAUUUCCGUAAAUGCUCGUGUUGGACAGGACCAAAACGACGGCCCUCUCGGGUUCUCCUGUCCACACCCAUGCUGCCCAUGUGUAGCAGGCCAAGGCCCAGGUGUGCCCGUGUGUGCAGCAGGUGUGCCCGUGUGUGCAGCAGGCGUGCCCAUGUGUGCAGCAGGCCCAGCCCCAGGCAUGCCCGUGUGUGCAGCAGGCAUGCCCGUGUGUGCAGCAGGCGUGCCCGUGUGUGCAGCAGGCCCAGCCCCAGGCAUGCCCGUGUGUGCAGCAGGUGUGCCUGUGUGUGCAGCAGGCGUGGUUCACAU
rnacentral:lncRNA from 1 species